rnacentral:rRNA from 1 species
UAGGGAAUCUUCCACAAUGGACGAAAGUCUGAUGGAGCAAUGCCGCGUGCGUGAAGAAGGUUUUCGGAUCGUAAAACUCUGUUGUGAGGGAAGAACAAGUACGAGAGUAACUGCUAGUACCUUGACGGUACCUCAUUAGAACGCCACGGCUAACUACGUGCCAGCAGCCGCGGUAAUACGUAGGUGGCAAGCGUUGUCCGGAAUUAUUGGGCGUAAAGCGCGCGCAGGCGGUCCUUUAAGUCUGAUGUGAAAUCCCACGGCUCAACCGUGGAAGGUCAUUGGAAACUGGGGGACUUGAGUACAGAAGAGGAAAGCGGAAUGCCAAGUGGAGCGGUGAAAUGCGUAGAGAUUUGGAGGAACACCAGUGGCGAAGGCGGCUUUCUGGUCUGUAACUGACGCUGAGGCGCGAAAGCGUGGGGAGCAAACA